ACCCCUGUUCAACUGGGAUGCCACGGAUUUGCCUCUGGGGCCAACCUAAGCUGCAAUAGAGCGUGGAGAAGGCUGGUUUCAGGUCAGAAAACAGAACAAGCGUGAUCUCAUCCCCAUGCCAGUUUCUCCACAUUACAAAGUCACCGCAAGACAUAAUGACACAUUGUGCCUGCUCCGGGAGGAUGGGACUGAGGGCUUGUCUGCACUGCUUGGAAGAACGAACUGGAAGGAACAAACACGCACAAGCAAUCUCAAGAUCUCAAGAUGAUUAACAACGCUGGAGAUUCAUCAACCUUAUUUCGAAAAUGGAGUAACUGUGAUGUAAUGAGAUGAAGAAAUUAACUUGAUAUCAUUGAAUGAAUUAGUGUCCAUACAAGGAUCAGAACACAUUUCCUUAUUCCUGGUGCCAUUCGUAAUCCACCGCACAAGAAUGCCAAAACAAUUUCUUAUUACCAUUCACCAUGUUUCAACAGACUAGGGCAUCAAAGGACUAGGCAUUAAAUCUUCUUCACUUUUCAGGGUUUUUUUUAAGAAACUCUGUUAUGACUAAAAAGAGGACUUCAGCAGCUGGAGAAAAAAGCCCACAAUGUGCACUCUUUCACCAUAUUAUUUGUCUCACAGGUCUACCCCUCCGUUCCCUCACUCCAUCCUCCUGAAGAACCGUGAGUCCAACCAAGCAUUAAGGCCUGCAGCGACAUUGCUAUGACAGAUUUUUGCGGUUCUUGACCCUCGCAGGAACAUAGCACGUAGCCAACACAGCUGUGAUACAGGAUUUUGCAUUUGUUCCUGUUGAAUUUCAUGCGGGCCACUGCUCCAGCCUCAGUAUUUCUGAGUGGCGGCUCUGCGCCUUUUUUUGCAGUGAUAAUGAUUCAGAUUGUGGCUUAUUGCAACGGGAAUCCUUCAAGCACAAAGACAAUGCCUUGUUUCAAGGGUGGCUUUGCUUGAGUAAGGACUGUUAUUUAGCUUAGACUAUCAUGGCUUUUUAGGGACUGAAAUUCAGAUUCUUCAAAAGCUCAUACAAAUUCAAGACGAGGAUCAUAUUUACGCAGAGGUGAUUUUCUCUACAUAUAGAAGUGUGGGUUUUGGUAGUCCUUUUAAGCUUCAGGAAGCCACUGAGAAGAAUAAAAUAAG